rnacentral:rRNA from 1 species
AGUCACUGACAUUAGAUACCCCUGUAGUCCAGGGUGUAAACGCUGCAGACUUGGUGUUGGGAACCCUUCGGGGGUGCUCAGUGCCGGAGAGAAGUUGUUAAGUCUGCUACUUGGGGAGUACGUCCGCAAGGAUGAAACUUAAAGGAAUUGGCGGGGGAGCACCGCAACGGGAGGAGCGUGCGGUUUAAUUGGAUUCAACACCGGAAAACUCACCAGGGGAGACUGUUACAUGAAACCCAGACUAAUGAUCUUGGUUGAUUUUCAG